rnacentral:rRNA from 1 species
UACGAAGGGUGCAAGCGUUACUCGGAAUUACUGGGCGUAAAGCGUGCGUAGGCGGUUUGUUAAGUCUGUCGUGAAAUCCCCGGGCUUAACCUGGGAAUGGCGUCUGAAACUACGGAGCUAGAGUGUGGCAGAGGGAGGUAGAAUUCCACGUGUAGCGGUGAAAUGCGUAGAUAUGUGGAGGAAUACCGAUGGCGAAGGCAGCCUCCUGGGCCAACACUGACGCUCAUGCACGAAAGCGUGGGGAGCAAACAGG